rnacentral:rRNA from 1 species
AUUGAACGCUGGCGGCAUGCCUUACACAUGCAAGUCGAACGGCAGCACGGGUGCUUGCCCCUGGUGGCGAGUGGCGAACGGGUGAGUAAUACAUCGGAACAUGUCCUGUAGUGGGGGAUAGCCCGGCGAAAGCCGGAUUAAUACCGCAUACGAUCUACGGAUGACAGCGGGGGACCUUCGGGCCUCGCGCUAUAGGGUUGGCCGAUGGCUGAUUAGCUAGUUGGUGGGGUAAAGGCCUACCAAGGCGACGAUCAGUAGCUGGUCUGAGAGGACGACCAGCCACACUGGAACUGAGACACGGCCCAGACUCCUACGGGAGGCAGCAGUGGGGAAUUUUGGACAAUGGGCGAAAGCCUGAACCAGCAAUGCCGCGUGUGUGAAGAAGGCCUUCGGGUUGUAAAGCACUUUUGUCCGGAAAGAAAUCCUUGGCCCUAAUACGGUCGGGGGAUGACGGUACCGGAAGAAUAAGCACCGGCUAACUACGUG